GGUAAUGCAAAUUUAAUCUUACUCGGACAUUGGAACAAUAGAGAGAAGAUUAGCACGGUCCCUGUGCAAGGAUGACACACACAAAUUGAGAAAUGGUAUCAGAGCUA